CCUGCUCAGGCAUGUUGGCCACAGCCCCAGGAAGAAGCCAAGCUGAGCAAAGCGUCCAAAGAAAGCAGCAGCAGCUGUUGGAAAAAGGGGCCGGGCUGGCCAAGGCUCUGCUGUCACCCCAUCCCUGCCAGCCCCGAAGUCCCAGCAACACUCCUCCAGACACAGGCCCAGUGCAAACCUGUCCGCAGCUCCACCCACACACCGGCGACUAUGCCAUCAUCAGUGUCUGUUACUGUGCCCACUCCCCACCUAGCGGUCUGCACCUGGAGCCACGGCCACACAACCAACAGGACCACGCUACCUCAGAGGACCCUCCCUGGCUGUGGCCCAGGAGCAAAGAGGCAUGGCCCCCACGGCCACCUGGGUCGAUUUCCUGGCCCAGCCGUCCGAGCAACAGCUCUCCAAGUCCAGCAGUGUCAGCCCCUCCUCAUGUCACCUGGGCCCUGAAGCGGACAGAGGUGCAGGUGUGUGUGAGGCGGCAGGCACAGGACGUCCACCAGCCCCUCCCACAGGGGCGUCGCCGGCCCCUGUGACCCCAGCCCUGACUGGGGUGCACUGGAGGACGGCAGCCUAAGCCCCACCCUGGGUCCCUGUGCCUCCCUGGGCACAGCUGGAGUUUAACCCAGACAAGGCCAGUCCCUCCGGGGCCUUGGGGCUCAUCCUCUCACUCCCAGCCUAACAGUAAGACACCGAGUCCUUGGCUGAGGCCAGACUGGGGUUGGAAGAGUUCAGGGAACACCAGGGGAGGUGCAGAGCCCAGGGACCACAGGGAAACUGGCCUCCUGUAGAGGCCACGGGCUACACUGGGGCCAGCCUGACCCAUCUCAGACGCAGCCGCCAUCCCACCUGCCACACACGCGCACACUGUCCGGCCACCCCGGACAGCCACUGCCGCCAGAACUCUCUCUCCCCGCCCCAUGACCUGCCUCCUUUGCCCUCUGCACUCAGCUCAGGUGCCACCUCCUCCAAGGAGCCUUCCCAGACUACCGAGGUCUGAGGGACAGCACCUCAAGGCGCCAGUGCCUGCCCCACCCCCAGUCCUGGGCUUGGCCCGUGUGUGGGCUAGGAGCUCCUUGAGAGCAGGGGCCCGUUUCUCCUCUCAGCACCUCGCACCCUGGCCCACAACCACAGGCCGCAGCAAGAAUGACUGAGGGCGUCAGUGAGAAGGCAGUGCGGCCUCCACCCCUGUGUGUGCUGCAGGCUCCUCAGGAGGCCUGACUCUGUGUAAGAGGUUGGCCCAUAUACGAGGACCGUAUUUCCGAGCCAGCCAGCAGGCGUGCCCUGCAAAGGCACCCUGGGGGCCCAGAGGCGAGAGGCCUCAGUGCUCUGGAAGGCCUGAGUCUCUGCAUGGCCCUAGCAAGAGGAAGCCCUCUCCCCGCCCCGUGGCCUGGCAGCCCGCGGCCACCCACUCACUGCCAUGACAGACCGGCUCAGCCCCCAAGAUGCUGCGGCCCACACUGCAGAGGGCGGCCAUGUGCAGCUCGCGGCCCCUGGGGGUUGGGGUGGCCGUGUGGGAUGGGUGCGGCAGGGGGGCACAAAUGCCCACCCCCAGGGCACCACAGGGCAGUCCUCAGCACCCCAAAGCCGCUGUCCCCCCAGCUGCAAGGCCUGAACCUCCCGCCCUGUGCUGUGACCCCAAUCCCACCCCAUCUGCUGUUGCGCUCGGAUCUGGGUCAGUGACUGGGGCCGAAGGUGCAGGCCCAGGAAGCAGAGGGAAGAGGCUUGGCAAAGAGCCAGCGAAGCCUGUCUGAGGGCAGCAGCUCCCUGGCCCUGACGGGGACGUCUCUGGGCCAGCAAAUCACAACGACCCCCUCGGCUGGUGCUCUCCAGCACCUCUGCCACCCGAACGCUUCUUUUCUGGGAUACCCUCUGCAGAGGGCUGAGGCCAAGCUGGACUUGGCACCUGGCCUAAAGCCAGGCAGGACUCCCAGGCAGGGCCCCGGCCCAUCACAAGAACCGCGUUACUGGGCACCAAGCGCUAUAGCCACUGGCUCAGGCUAGGCCCCGCCACGGCCCUAAGCAGUUCACUCAUCACUCCACUGAGGGACAAGGGGGUGUGACCUGGGGCAGGGCGGGAUCUGCACCCUCCAGCCUAGCCCCAGCCUGCAUCCUGCAGUCACAGCCAGCUCUCCCUCCCACCUGCACCUGACACCAGGGGCCUCCGGGUUCUGCCAGCCAUCAGCACCGUCUCCCGCUGCCUGAAGGACCCACACAUCCAUGCAUGCAACAAAUAUGCACAGAGCACCUACUGUGUGCCAAGGUGAGGUGGCAGGUGCCACGGUGACCACAGUAGGCAGAGCCCAGCUCUUGUGGAGCAGAAAUGUAUGGGACUGCCUCAAGCCUCGAGGUGGGCCACAGGGGUGGCAGCCAUGUGCCCAGAGCAUGGGAUGCCACAGCAGGAAAAGUACUCCCUGUGUGCGGGUCAGCCAUAUGGCUAUUUUCUCUGCAAGAACAAUAAAAAGCAACUAGUAUUACACUAUGAUUGCAUAAAAGAAAGACUGUAGCAAUGACAAAAACAAAAGUAGACAGGAUACAAUCUCAGUAUAAGGAGUGUUCCUUCAGAUGGAAUAGAUUGGAUGUGGCUUUUAUUACUUGGGAAACACCACACACCACAGGUUUUCUGUCCUCAUUUGCAUGCAAAUUCCCGCCUCUGGACUUGCCUCUGGAAACCCCAGGCCUUCCCUCGGCCCCAGACUCCACCACACACCCAGAGUGUAAGCCUAGAUCCCAGGUGGGGCUGGGGGGCAGAUAGGGGCUCCAAUUCUUGUUUAAUAGGGGAGAGACUUAGGGACCAAAGUCUGUCACAGCAACGCCCUUCACCGUGAGGUCUUUGGUGGGGGAGGCAGGCUUCCUCCAGGCCAGCCCCACCAACUGACCACAAGGAAGGUGGACUAGUCACACCACCACUCGAGCCUCAGUUUCCUCCUUUGCUGGAUGGGACCCAGUGCCCUCACCUGUUUUCAGGCAGGUAUGCAGUGACACUACGCUAUUAUUAAGUCAAUGUCUGGCAAAGGCUUCCCCUAGGGGCAGAAAGAGCCUGCCUUUCUCUGCUCAGCUCCCCAGCACUGACCCCAGUCAGCCCUUGGCAUGUCCCCGACCUUGUGGCCUCUCUAGGAGAUCGCAGCCUCUCGGGGAGCCCAGCAGCCAGGUGCCAGCUGCCCCGAGCACGUGCCUUCUGCAGCAGGAGAACAGCAGCAGGCAAACCCUGCCGAGACUUGCCAAAGAGGUGGCUUUAGGAAAACACCAUAUACCAGGGUGGCAUCCAACAGAAGACCAGAGCUGCCCACCGGCCUCUACCCUGCAUCCUCCCGCUGUGUGAGCACCUGCGCCCCGCCCCCACUGAGUCUCCACACCAGCCAGUCUCCACUGAGGAAACCAGAGGCCACCUCCUGCUUCACUGCUCUUCUGACUACCUGCCAUCGCAGCUGCGGCUCCCCACUGUCUCCUGCAGCAAGAAUGUCAGCUCCAGGAGGGCAGGGGCUUGGUUUUGCUCCCCCAUGGCCCCAGUCCCCGUGCACAGUGCCCAGGGGAGGGUGGGCCCUGGAUAUCUGCUGCGCGGCUUGCAAGGAACCAGCUGGGCUGACACUGCCAAUCCAGGGUCAAGGGCCUGGUCAGAUGCCAUGUGGGAAGGGAACCCUGACGGAGGAUGGAGAAGAGGUCAAGCCUUUCCUGAGCAUCCCUGGGGUACAUGGAUUUGCCCGGUUUUCGUGACUUGAUAAGACUGACCCGAAUCUACUACCCAGCCAACCCUUAUCUUCAGGGCCCCAGCAUCCUCAUGUCCUCACUGCCCCUCAGCCUGGCCCACACCUGUGCCUCCUGGAACACCCUCUCCUUCCCUGUGCCCCAUGCAGCCCAGCGCGCCCCCCUCCUCAGCCCCCCUGGGCAAACAACCUGUGCCUGGCUUGGACCCCUGCCAUGAGCCACCAGACUAUACUGAAGCCACCCAGGGCCCUUGGGGGCUUGGGGAAGUCUGGAGGCCACGCUUCUAACCUCCCAAGGCCUUAGCCAAAUGCCACGGAGCCCAAACGCACCCGUCCAGAGAGGAUGCCCACUCAGGCACCCCCUUCCAGCGGGUGAGAUGAACCAUCUACAUAAGUAACUUGGGCUCAGGGAGAAGUGCUCCAAGACUGGAGAGGUGUGGGAAACACCCGUGCGGGCUCAGAGAGACGAGGCCCACAGCAGGGAGGCGCAACAGAGAGGGGAAAAGGCAAGACAGCUGGAGGGCAGGGAACAGGGACACUCAAGGCCUCAGACACUCAAGGACAGACAUGGACACCAAGACAGAACAGCAGGAAUUACCGGUAGAGGGCGACAGUUUAGGCCUGGGGCUUGGAAGGGGCAGGGCACCUGCAAAGUCAGUGGCCUAGGUGGGAGGAGCCCAGGGCAUCUGGGUGGGCUUCCAGCUCCGUCACCCAGAUGGCCCCAGAUGCCUCUUCCAUUAAAGGGGCCGCGUGCACCCACCCUUGGGUAUAGCAUGGCUACUCUUAAGGCUGCUGUGAAGAGGACAACCCUGGUGUGCAGGCCUGGCCCCUACUGAGGAGGCUGAGGUGGCUACUGUGCCGGGAGACCUUGAGCACACAGAUAAGUGCAGUGCAAUUCGCGGCUGUGCAUCCAGGACCUAGAAGUCACCACCGUCGCACCCUCCUUUAGUGAGCGUCUACAGCCUGGGCCCUCCCUGCUCCCAGCAGGCCCUCCCCACUGUCCAGCCUGCACCCCUCCCAGCAGGCUCAGGGCUGGCCAGGAGGGAUGGACGGGGUCACACCUCCACCCCUGCCAGGGCCUUCCUCCUGUGCUCAUCACCAGCCCCGCUCUGCCAGAGCAAGGUCCAGCCUCCCACUCUAGUAGACCCUCUAGCGGUGGGCUUCAAGAGCCAGCAGGCCAGAUCCCACCCCCCACCCCAACUGUCCUUCUUCCCAGCCACCCAACCCCCAAGGGGCCCAGCCUGCCAACCUCUAAUCCUCUCAGUCAUCUGACCCAGGCUCCACCCUAAAUUGGCUUUACCCAGCCACCCUUCUGAGGCCCAAAAAUGGACACAGCCAUUUAUAGAGGGUCCGACAAGCCAAACGCAAUGGGAAGAUGACCUCAUGGCACCCAUAGGCCAGAGCUCCAGGUACACACUGCGCACCCCAGGCACUCUGGGGGCAGCGGCUGGGGACCAGCAACAGUGGUGCUUUCACCCCAGGGCCAGAGGCCACCAGACCUUACAAGACAAAGCUCUGUGCAGGCCAGAGUCACAGGCACCCUGCCUGAGACGGCAUCUGGGGACUCAGGCCAGGACAAGGCACCAGGCAAGUGUCCAGGCAGGAUCUGAUGAACGAGGAAAGGCACAGGAGCAUGCAGUACAAUCAGUGUACCCAUCGGCCUGCGUCAGGGCUCUCAAGCCAAGCCACCAAAUGCCCUUGUUUGCUCAUAAACAUUCACUAAGACCCUACUGGAGCCAGGUGAAUGUCGUUGGUGCACAUACAUGGGUCUGCCCUGCCCUCAGGAAGCACCAGACCAGCAGAGGAGACAGGCAGGUCAACAAGUCAGGAUCCAUGGACAGGCAGUGCAGAGGCAGCUUGGGGACCCCAUGGUGCCCCCACUCCAAGGGACAAGCUGCCCUUGACCUCACUGUCACCCCUGGAGUCUGGAUGGUCGGGCUGAGAAGACAUGUGGGAAGACUGGGGGAGAAGCAGAGAGGAUGGCAAAUGGGGGCCCUUCUUCCUAGGCCAAUACUCUGUAGGCCUUCCAUCACAGCUCCUGCUGUCCUCGGUCAGGACAGCCACAGGGAAACUGGAACUGCCCCAUUACUCACUGAUUUAACUGAGGCAAGGUAGGGACGAUGGCAGGUCUGCCUACUGUAGGCCCAGUGACAGGGGUACUGAACACCACGCAAAGAUACUGUGUAGCAGCACCCAGGCUAUGACACAGACUCUGUAUGGCACGAAGGCAGACAGGAGAGGCUGGUGUAGGUUGAGGCACGGGGCUUUCUGGGGGCAGGGCCUGUCGCUGGGCCAAGAAGGGAGGGCAGAGCCACUUUCAGAGACUUAGCCAGGAGUCUUGGCUCCUGAUGGGGGAGGGUCCUUAACCAGUCUCCAGCAGGCAGAGAGCAGCUGCAGCACUAAGCAACUCCGGCCCCAUAAAGCUCAGGCUUGGGCAAGGCCAGCUGUUGGCCAAGACCAGCAGCCAUAGCUGACCAGCUGUCAGGCAACUGCCCACAGCCACACAACAGGGCCUGGGAGAGAGGGCUGGCAGCUCAGUGGGUCAGUGAUACACAGCCCAUGCCUACUGUCCCUAGGAGGACAUCAAAGGUGCUGCUGCAGAGAAAAGGCAGCCAGGGCAAAGGGGACACACCAAGAGCAAACGGGAGUCAGUAGGGUGGGGGCAGGGAACUUGUCUCGCUAACCCAGGGCUUCCCAUUCAUCUCCCUGGCUCCUCAGGGGCAGGCAGCAGGCUCAGGCCCCAGAUGGAUUACCCUGUCAAGGGGGUGGGCAGGGGCAAAGGUAGCUAUGUGAUUCAAGUCUUCCCAGCACCCAACCAGCUAUU